GACGAACGCUGGCGGCGUGCCUAAUACAUGCAAGUAGAACGCUGAAGGAGGAGCUUGCUUCUCUGGAUGAGUUGCGAACGGGUGAGUAACGCGUAGGUAACCUGCCUGGUAGCGGGGGAUAACUAUUGGAAACGAUAGCUAAUACCGCAUAAGAGUAGAUGUUGCAUGACAUUUGCUUAAAAGGUGCAAUUGCAUCACUACCAGAUGGACCUGCGUUGUAUUAGCUAGUUGGUGGGGUAACGGCUCACCAAGGCGACGAUACAUAGCCGACCUGAGAGGGUGAUCGGCCACACUGGGACGGAGACACGGCCCAGACUCCUACGGGAGGCAGCAGUAGGGAAUCUUCGGCAAGGGACGGAAGUCUGACCGAGCAACGCCGAGUGAGUGAAGAAGGUUUUCGGAUCGUAAAGCUCUGUUGUAAGAGAAGAACGAGUGUGAGAGUGGAAAGUUCACACUGUGACGGUAUCUUACCAGAAAGGGACGGCUAACUACGUG
rnacentral:rRNA from 1 species